rnacentral:tRNA from 1 species
UUUAAUAUGGCAGAUUAGUGCAAAGGAUUUAAACUCCUUUUAUAAAGAAUCAUUCUUUUAUUAAAA